rnacentral:lncRNA from 1 species
GGCCCGUGGCAGUUGGCGGCGCGCUUAUUUCUCAUCUUAGAGCAGGUUGGGCCAAAAAUAGAGGGAAGAGGAAGAGUUGGCGGCGACGCUAUGGGAGGAAGGGGCCGAGGGUCUCAAGGAGAUAUAGUUGGGAGCAUUUUUUUUUUUUAAUCCUUUGUUUGAGGUCUUUUGGUCAUUUCAAAAAUUUAUAAUGAUGUGGCAAUGAGAUUCCAGUAAAUAUUCACGG